AUGAGACCACAGUGACACAAGUCACAGGGGUUAAAGGUGGCCUCUAUUUAUAAGCUAUCACUUGGAGAUAGGCUCAUGCACCAUUAGCUUGUUGGUGAGGUAACGGCUCACCAAAGCUCUGAUGGUUAGCUGAUCUGAGAGGUUGAUCAGCCACACUGGAACUGAGACACGGUCCAGACUCCUACGGGAGGCAGCAGUAGGGAAUAUUGCGCAAUGGAGGAAACUCUGACGCAGCGACGCCGCGUGGGUGACGAAGGCUUUCGGGUCGUAAAGCCCUGUCGGAAGGGAAGAAAAACACAAUGGCUAAUAUCCAUAGUGCUUGACGGUACCUUUAAAGGAAGCACCGGCUAACUACGUGCCAGCAGCCGCGGUAAUACGUAGGGUGCAAGCGUUGUUCGGAAUCAUUGGGCGUAAAGCGCGUGUAGGUGGCUAGUUAAGUUGGAUGUGAAAUCCCUGGGCUCAACCGAGGAAAGUGCAUUCAAAACUGGCUGGCUUAGAG
rnacentral:rRNA from 1 species